rnacentral:rRNA from 1 species
UACGUAGGUCCCGAGUGUUGUCCGGAUUUAUUGGGCGUAAAGCGAGCGCAGGUGGUUUAUUAAGUCUGGUGUAAAAGGCAGUGGCUCAACCAUUGUAUGCAUUGGAAACUGGUAGACUUGAGUGCAGGAGAGGAGGGUGGAAUUCCAUGUGUAGCGGUGAAAUGCGUAGAUAUAUGGAGGAACACCGGUGGCGAAAGCGGCUCUCUGGCCUGUAACUGACACUGAGGCUCGAAAGCGUGGGGAGCAAACAGG